ACUCCUACGGGAGGCAGCAGUAGGGAAUCUUCCGCAAUGGACGAAAGUCUGACGGAGCAACGCCGCGUGAACGAUGAAGGUUUUCGGAUCGUAAAGUUCUGUUGUUAGGGAAGAACACGUACCGUUCGAAUAGGGCGGUAUCUUGACGGUACCUAACGAGAAAGCCCCGGCUAACUACGUGCCAGCAGCCGCGGUAAUACGUAGGGGGCAAGCGUUGUCCGGAAUUAUUGGGCGUAAAGCGCGCGCAGGCGGUCCUUUAAGUCUGAUGUGAAAUCUUGCGGCUCAACCGCAAGCGGUCAUUGGAAACUGGGGGACUUGAGUACAGAAGAGGAGAGUGGAAUUCCAUGUGUAGCGGUGAAAUGCGUAGAUAUAUGGAGGAACACCAGUGGCGAAGGCGACUCUCUGGUCUGUAACUGACGCUGAGGCGCGAAAGCGUGGGGAGCAAACAGGAUUAGAUACCCUGGUAGUCCACGCCGUAAACGAUGAGUGCUAGGUGUUAGGGGGUUUCCGCCCCUUAGUGCUGCAGUUAACGCAUUAAGCACUCCGCCUGGGGAGUACGGCCGCAAGGCUGAAACUCAAAAGAAUUGACGG
rnacentral:rRNA from 1 species